rnacentral:rRNA from 1 species
UACUAAGGGGGCUAGCGUUGCUCGGAAUCACUGGGCGUAAAGGGUGCGUAGGCGGGUCUUUAAGUCAGGGGUGAAAUCCUGGAGCUCAACUCCAGAACUGCCUUUGAUACUGAGGAUCUUGAGUUCGGGAGAGGUGAGUGGAACUGCGAGUGUAGAGGUGAAAUUCGUAGAUAUUCCCAAGAACACCAGUGGCGAAGGCGGCUCACUGGCCCGAUACUGACGCUGAGGCACGAAAGCGUGGGGAGCAAACAGG